UGGCCGUUCUCAGAGAUGGGACAUUGAAUGAUUGAAUUAUGACUGAGAUAAUGUUCUCCUUGUUUUGAAAGAAGAAAUCACUGGAAAAGGAUGAAGAGAGGUUGAUGCCUUGAUCAAGAUGUCACGAGGAGGCCAACAGAGGAAGAGAGACAGCACUUGAGAAAUCAGACCCAGGACCUCAGAGCUGAACUGCUGCCGAUGUGUGCACGCCCGAGCCCAGGGCUGCCUCCCAUCCCUCGGAGCAGCUGUAGUUUCACUGUGGUAUCAUACGACCCCCUGCUGGCCUCAUUUUUCUCCUCAGCACUUCUGGCAUCCCAAUUUUUCUGGUUUCUCCCUCAUCGAGGAUCUCCAAGGUGUCACCUCCUGCAGGCAUUCCUUUCUGAGGAUGAAAGUAAUGUUUUUUGGGGAAGGAUGGCCUCGAAAGGGCCCGACUGGUGUUGCCCAGCAUCGUCCUGCUCCCUCUGCAGCGGUGGUGACGGUCCCUGGCAGGAACCAACCGUAUCUCAGGCUAAUGAGUUGUCAGAAACCCGUCCCCGUGCCUCGCCUCCCGGGCAGGUUAUUAUUAUGAGGGCUGUCAGUGGCGGGUGAGGAUGGGGCAAGCAAUCCAUUUCUGCAGCCAGCGGGGAGCUGCGAAUCUGUUCACAGGGGAUCAGCGGGGUGCUGUGGGAACCGGCCUGCCCUGCAAGCGUCCACCAAGGGCUACCAUUCAAGAGAGCACUGUGGGUUCAUGGCGAGCGCAGCGAGCUUGCCUCUAAUGUAUGCCCUAAUGAGUCAGCGGAGGGUGUUCUGCCUGCCUGAAUGUCUUUAGUGUGGCAAAGCGGAGUGGACAUUCCCAUACAAUAGUGGGCUUAAAUUCAGCCUCUCACCGAUGUCUAAUUCAUGGGCGGAACGGCUUUUGUAAUACCUAUAGAAGAGAAGUACAGUAGGUCACUCCUUCAACUAAUUGGAGUUGACAAUCCCAUAUCUGUCCAUAUCUCAGAGCCAUUUGCACACAGUUGGAAAGGGAGGCAUUUCGUCUUUGCUCAUGUGGUCAGCCACCGGGAAGUGAAAAGAAUGUAUGGGUUUCUGCUUCAGGCAGUCUCAGAUUUGCAACAAAAACUAACAUAACUGAGCAAUGUCUUUUUCACUUAAUGGCAGGUAGAGCAGUAAGGGUUAUCUUUCUUACCUUCAUUCUCCAGCUUUUAAAUCAUGCUUCUUUUCCCCUACCCAUGGUUUGCUAUCUCUGCAGGGCACCCUUUUAUAACUUUUUGCCCUGAAGCAGAGACUUGAUCAUGUGCAAGUCUUCUGGGUGCCAUCAUAACCUCAAGGGCCAGAAGAAUGCAAAAUGCCCCUGCUCUGCAAAUGGGAGUUUCACAACUUGCUAAAAGCCGCUUGCUGGACCGGUAGUAGGGGUAAGACUGAUCCCUGACCCCGCACCUAGAAUGAUAAAGUGCAUCAAAGGUGUCAUGUGUUUUAGCCUGUUCGAGCAUGACGUGAACUUCUGCUACUAUCAACACUUUAUCCACUCUCUCGUUCAGAUACAGCAGUUUUAUUUGAGUGUACACAGAGAGUAUUAAUGCUUCCAAUUUAAUCUGGCACAUAACACCUGAAGAAGAAGAUUUCCCAAAUUCCGUGAGGAAGCCAUAUGGGUACUUUGCAGUGAUACACCAGUUAAAAUUGGAUCCUCUCCUUUCUUCAGCAGACCAUUUUUUCCUCAAAAGCAUCAGCCACAAAUCUAGGUCACAUCCCCUCCCCACCUAUGGCAGUGUUUGGGAAGAAUUAACACUGGUUUGAACCAACUUGGGGGAUUUAAACUUUUUUUUUUUUUAAUAAAAGCUUGGGUUUGUCCACUUGUCAUGGUAAAACUCCAGACUUGCUCAGUGGAAUCCUCAACUCUGUUAACAGUAUAUGAUGAAAUCAUAUAACUAAAUGACUGAUCUUUUCCACUUACUAAAGGCCAAUUCCACAUGAGCUCCAACAUGUAGAACAUGGUAAAAUUGCCUGGUUUGUACUUCAUGCUGGGACUGAAAGAGACUGCAGCACCACCAGGCUGGAAACAAAUAAACUUUACACAUCAAUCCUCUUGACUUAGAGGUAAUUUAGUCGUUCUUGAUUUGACAUGGAAGUUUUGUAAGAUGUUAUAGAGCCGGAAAACAGAAUAAAGCCACACAAUAUUCAAAAAAAGAUGAGAUAAACUGCUACUUUAUUUUUCUAAAUAUGUUCAUUAAGGAUAUUAAUUUACUUAUGAGGAAAGGCUUUGCUAUGUUUUUCCUUUUAAAAAAUAAUGAUCUGCUGGAAGUGUGGGAAAUAUGCUUUAAAAAACCCAGUAAAUGGAGCACACGUCAGUAAAGACAGCUCAAUUUCGUUCCGGUGGUGUGAUCACAAAAACAUUUUCUACCAUGCAACUUUUAAUUAGUCUCGCAAAAAAUUAUUCUGCUUCACUUAUACAGAGUACAGUAAAUGGCUACAUAAAUGCAUCAGGAAUGAAAUAAAUACGCUUUGUUCAAAUGUGGUAACCUUUGGGAAAUAAGAUGAUAAGAGAAUGAA